rnacentral:lncRNA from 1 species
UAUUGAUGGUAUAUCAUUAGUGAGAUUUUUACAAUAUUAGUGCAAUGUGGACAUCUGCGGAUAUUUUUCAAUUAAAAAUAUAUACUCAUGGUGAAUUAAUUUCAAAUAAAGAAGCUCAAUGUAUGAAGAGAUAAUGAGUAUUAAUGCGAAAUAUCGAUGCAACAAAUUCUUUUACGGAUAACUAGUUAUCAAAUAAAACAAGUCAAAUUUUAUUAACUCGUUUGGGAUCGCAGAAGCGCAUUAUGU